rnacentral:rRNA from 1 species
UACGGGGGGGGCAAGCGUUGUUCGGAAUUACUGGGCGUAAAGGGUCUGUAGGUGGCCAAUUAAGUCAGACGUGAAAUCCCUCAGCUUAACUGGGGAACUGCGUCUGAGACUGGAUGGCUCGAGUGCAGGAGAGGAAUGCGGAAUUCCAGGUGUAGCGGUGAAAUGCGUAGAUAUCUGGAGGAACACCCGUGGCGAAGGCGGCUCUCUGGGACGGUACUGACGCUGAGACGCGAAAGCGUGGGGAGCGAACAGG